rnacentral:lncRNA from 1 species
UUUUUAAAACCUAGAGAGAUAAGGAAAAGAAACAACGCUCCCCUCUGAAAAUAUACAGAGAGAACAGCGUACCUUCUUUGUCUUCUUCUUCAUUUUAAUUUCUCAAAACACCACAGAACCCCCUCUCCGUCCUCCUCUCACUCAUCUGAUAGCACACACUCAAAGACGAAGCUCCUCCAACAGAGAACACGGACAAGAAUAGGAGUCGAACAUAAUGUUUAUAGAGGGAGCUCGAAACCCAAGUUUGAGGUCCUAAAAUCUAAAACAAAAAAGGGAUAGAGAUUUAAAUUGAUUUUGAAUUCAAACAGUUCGAAAAAAGAGGAAAAUAUUGUGGUUUGUUCUUGUUGAUUCAAGGAAGAUUUCUUUGUUAUUUUGCCGAAUUUCGAGUUAGGUUUUAAUCCGAAAUCGAAGUCGAGUAUGUUGUUCUUGAACUGCUGAGUUCCGUGGUCAAUUCGUGUCUUUAUUUGGGUUUUUUUCUGCAAUUUUCCUGCUAUUAGGUAUGUAUUCCUUUAAGUUAUGUCCAAAUUUACUAUGAUAUAGA